GGCGACGCGAAUGAUUGGGCGGGGGAGUACGGCGAGGCGAUCCGGGCGGGGCGGAAGGCGACAACCGGAAGUGGGCCGCGACAAGAUCCAUGAUCCGAGGAGACGGAAUACAACAGGGAGCUAAGAGAAAGCAUUUUACAGUGAGAUAGAGCUGGCUAAAACUGGAUGUUCUGCAAUGCUACAGUCCAAGCUAUAACAUUGUUUAUCUGGCCUGUGCCAAUUGCAUUGUCUACGCUGUACAUGUCAGCAAGUGGAAUGCAAAACAGUUGCUUUGUUAGAAGGUACUCAGAUGGGUCAUGAGCGCAGCUCAAUGCCUGGUGUUGGCACUCAUGAUGUGGAGCUGUCCCCCCUCUUCAAAUGGCUUGUUUAUUGCGUUGCUUAUUCGUAAAAUGCAUGCGGGGAGUACAAUCGUGUUCUUAGCUACUGUUUUCCUUCCAUGUUCAGUCCACCAAUCCAUGUUAUACAUUUGGUAUUAUCAGAAGAGCACAGUCACGUGAUGGACAUGUGAUGGCAUGGAUUCUUGGACGAAUGGCAUGAUCUUCGAUUCAUGGUGUCUGCUCUUGGCAUCUGACACGACAGGUCGGAAUCACGUACCCCCAUGUUGGAGGGCAUUUGGGGGUAAUACGGCGUACCACACUCCGAUCACAGCUGUGCAGACGUUGGUCGGACGGCUGUCGGGCAUGAUACAGUUUGUUAACUGACGGGGAGCUUUUUGGUGAACCUGCUCUGCCAUGUGAUGCUAGACCCUCGAUCCUGUCAUUUGGCCUGUGCUGGAAGAUAAACAAUGGAACACCCGAGACUGAAGAUCUUUUUUUGGAAAGAUCGCCAACAGCGAAGAAUCAUUUUUUGCAUCUUUUGGUUUGAUUGGUUCAACGGAAGAAAGGUUUCUGAAGAUGCAUUUUGUUGACUAGUGGCAGAGACGAGAAGAUUAUUUGUGAGAUAUGUAAGCAGAUGUGCAUUGCCCCUAGGAGGGGAACCGGCUUGGACAAAUUAAAAAACAGAAAAGACUACAGUGGAGAAAGGACAAGAGACGAUUCCCUGCAUUUCUGGAAGGAAAAGGCUGAUUAUUUCCUAAAUGGCGCUACAGUCUUAAAGGAAGUCUGUGGGGGAAAUGUGCGGCGAAGGGAUUGGAUGUUGUGCAGCAGGCAUGAUUUUUUUCUUUUACCCAAUCGAGCUUGGCUUUGGGAAGAAGAGAAAGGCAUUUGAUGGAUGGAGGCAAGUCCCUCAGGUGGGGAGAAGAGCCUGUGCUCCACCUGGCUGGCCAGUGUAGUAGUGGCUGCUCUGUGUCUAGGCCUUUGCCUUUUUUCACAAAAGAGGUAAAAAGGAGCUGUGCACUUGAAACUUUGAUGCUGGCAACCUAUACUUACCCGGCAUUAUGGUACCUCUCCUGUCUGUGAAGGCCUGUGAUGCAGCAACAGUCAAUUGGGGCAUAUGUAAAUCCUGCUGUGCAAUGCACACUGAGCAGUGCCCCUUUUCUUUUCUGCAGAUCAAUGAUUGGGAGUUUUGAGGCAUAUGGUAGGCACUUUAUGGUUUCUUCAGCUUGUGCCCCAGAUUGUUUACAACACAACUGAUAAACAGCAUGAAUCCACGAAGUAAUUCACAUCUUUCUGCUUCAACUGAGCAAUAUACUAUCUAAUUCUUCCGCCGCAAGCAAAAAACAUUCCCUGUACACAAGGACAACUGUGCCUGUAUGGAGGCAUGCGUUUGUUUAUUGAUCCCGUCAUGAAAAACCGGUAAGCAGAUCCCAAGAGCUGCCUGCCUGCCUUGGCUGUCCUAAGUACACUGCUCCCCCCACAAGCACUGGAGUCCAUUGCAAGCCAUGCCAAUCCAUUCCAGCAGCAGGUGGCCAUCUGCAUCUCAAUCCAUUUCCAUUCAUCCCCUUGUGAUACAAACAAUACAAUGUGGCAGUGCUUGUGCCGGCCGGCCAGCCAGCGCAGUCUGACAGAGGAGAUGAACAGUCGCAGGCCCCCUCCCUCGCCGCGGUCCGGCGCCUUUAUGAGGACGAGCCUCAUCGGCCGCUACAGUUCUGGUCCUCAGUCGGCCCGCGAUCCAUCGAUCGCCCGCCCUUGCCAGCAGUGACAGCUUGGCCGGACGCCGUACAUGUCUUCAUGUGUUACAGAGGAGGUUAGCAAUGGAGCUGAUGAUGCAACGACGCUGAGCAGAGCAGAGCAGAGCAGGCGUUUCCCCAAUCGUACGCCCUCGCUAUGAUCAGAUCUACCCGUCUAUCUGCUGCCGCCGCUGCUGCUUUCUUGGCUGCCGUCCAACUGUGGCACACCAUUUGUUCCCUUAGCAAGGCACUCUUAAAUAGCCAGCACCCAGCGGUGCCCAUCUCUUCCUUUAAUGGCUUCUACUCUGCAUCGCAAGAUAGAGGACCACAUAGAGAGAGAGAGGUUUGGAGAAUGACAGAGGAGGUAAUCAGAGGGGGCACUGUGGCGGCAUAAUCUUAACAUCAUGCAUGCAUCUCCUCCUGUACUUUUUUGGCCUCUCCAUUUUUCCCAAUUCCCUUUUGCCAAAAACAAAAGGAACAUGACAUGUGUACAAUUUGCAAUCUUCCAUGCACACCAAAACCCCAUCCAUCCAUGAUCCAUCCAUGAAGGAAGAAACCAUCAACACAAAAAGACAGAAAAGCUUGGGAGACACAGCUCAAAGCCUUCUACACUGUUACUUCUCUACUAAUCUAAGCUGCUGCUGGCAUCUUGGUGCAGGAUAUAUGUUAGUACAGUAUAGUACAGUACAUGGGGUGGUUAUUGUACUCAUUCCCUUGGUGGUAGCGAGCCUUUGCUCCAACAAUCUCUGCUCCGGAUGGCAAAGUAGCAUUCACCAUGAGAUAGCACAUGGUCAUUUCGGUCUGUCAUUCUGCCAGCCACAAUUGACAGUUGACAGUGGUUAGUGAGGUUCAUCUUUACACAGGCGUCGCCUCCGCGUGAUGAUCGGAGGACGUCUGGAGCGACCGGGAUCGGAAGAUCACGGGCGCGCCGUACUGUGGGUGGAGGAGCAUCAGCACCGUCGGAGCGUGGAGGUACUUGGGCGACAGCCGGAAAUCAAACCGCUGGAGGAUGAUGGCCACCGUGAGCUUGGUCUCCAGGAGUGCCAGGUUCUGGCCGAUGCACAUCCGCGAGCCCAGCCCGAAGGGUAUGAACGCCGACGGGUGC